rnacentral:miRNA from 1 species
UAUAGAAUACUUUUGUUCAGGUUUUCUGUUUGCAAAAAUGUGGAUGUAAAAAUAUUCAUUUCGCAUAACAGGUGGUUAUAUAACCACCUGUUAUGCGAAAUGAAUAUUUUUACAUCCACAUUUUUGCAAACAGAAAACCUGAACAAAAGUAUUCUAUA